GAUGAACGCUGGCGGCGUGCCUAAUACAUGCAAGUCGAGCGAACAGAUAAGGAGCUUGCUCCUUUGACGUUAGCGGCGGACGGGUGAGUAACACGUGGGUAACCUACCUAUAAGACUGGGAUAACUUCGGGAAACCGGAGCUAAUACCGGAUAACAUUUGGAACCGCAUGGUUCUAAAGUGAAAGAUGGUUUUGCUAUCACUUAUAGAUGGACCCGCGCCGUAUUAGCUAGUUGGUAAGGUAACGGCUUACCAAGGCGACGAUACGUAGCCGACCUGAGAGGGUGAUCGGCCACACUGGAACUGAGACACGGUCCAGACUCCUACGGGAGGCAGCAGUAGGGAAUCUUCCGCAAUGGGCGAAAACCUGACGGAGCAACGCCGCGUGGGUGAUGAAGGGUUUCGGCUCGUAAAACUCUGUUAUUAGGGAAGAACAAAUGUGUAAGUAACUGUGCACGUCUUGACGGUACCUAAUCAGAAAGCCACGGCUAACUACGUG
rnacentral:rRNA from 1 species